AAGAGAGGAGUGCUGGAUAUAGUGAAUAUUACCUACUACUACUUUCAAUCAAACUGGAAUUCAAGCAACUAUAUAUUGGAAUGGGGGACGCCUACGCAAAAAACAUAAGCACUCACAUAAUAAACUGAGUUUUACUCGUUCAACACGAUGCUGCAAACUAAAAUGUGCCCCAAUGGAUCUUUACGUAACAUAAAGAGUGCAGCACGAAAGCAUUACGCCUGAUUGGACUCACUUCUCUUAGUUCCUGUACUAGUUAAACGAAGAAAGAUGUGAGUAAUCUAGGAGACGACAUGUUACUAUAAGCCUUGUUAUAAGAAGAACCUCACUCAAUGCUAUAUAUGUGAACGAUUCGCUUUGCAUAAUUGUGGUAGGGAGGAAUUCCCGGGGACCUUAGUAGCGAAAGCAGGUGAGCUGGUACUAACAAGCAGACUUGUAGAACUGAGUACUUGGAAUGUUCGAAAGACUUAUUGCAUCGCCUACAUCCCUAAAAGAUUCAUAACAUCAAUCAAAAUAAACCCUUCUUUUUGAAUAUCGCUGGCGUUCUUAAAUGGGAAGCUUGGACUAACUGCAAGGGCAUGAGCAAAAGCAAAGCCCGUAAUGCAUACGUGCAAAAAUUCAGGGCCCUAGAGUUAGCCCCCGAACACUAUAACUAUAGGACAACCUGGGGUGCGACACACAAUUAAUAACCAAUGUCCACUUUGUUCCCGCGGCGAUCGGUCCUUUGGACCGGAACGAGCUUGCUCACAUACAGGAGCUUCAAUCACAGGAUCGUCACCAACAACAACAACAAAAGCUUAAAUGGAUUCGAAAUGAAUUGGAUAUUUAAAAUGAAUGAAACCGAGAAAUUUUACAUUUUUCUCCUUAAGUAAUAAUAAUAAAGCAUUUGUUUUUGUUUAUAAAUUUGCCACUAUAUAUACGAUAUUCCAUGCUAUAUACCAUAUUCCAUUUUUUUCUCCAAUUUGGAUUAGAACUAAACAAUAGUUGAAAAGUUAAAUGUCAUACAAAACGGCAGUUGGCAUCACAUACAUAGUGGUCAAGUGGGCCGUUAUUUUUAUACCCACCACCAUAGGAUGGGG
rnacentral:sRNA from 1 species